rnacentral:rRNA from 1 species
GACGAACGCUGGCGGCGUGCUUAACACAUGCAAGUCGAACGGAAAGGCCCUGCUUUUGUGGGGUGCUCGAGUGGCGAACGGGUGAGUAACACGUGAGUAACCUGCCCUUGACUUUGGGAUAACUUCAUGAAACUGGGGCUAAUACCGGAUAGGAGCUCCUGCUGCAUGAUGGGGGUUGGAUAGUUUCGGCGGUUGGGGAUGGAAUCGCGGCUUAUCAGCUUGUUGGUGGGGUAGUGGCUUACCAAGACUUUGACCGGUAGCCGUCCUGAGCGGGUGACAGGACACAUUGGGAUUGAGAUACGGCCCAGACUACUACGGGAGGCAGCGGUGCGGAAUAUUACACUAUGGGCGGAAGGCUGAUGCAGCAACGCCGCGUGCGGGAUGACGUGCUUCGGGUUGUAAACCGCUUUCGCCUGUGACGAGGCGUGAGUGACGGUAAUGGGUAAAGAAGCACCGGCUAACUCCGUG